rnacentral:rRNA from 1 species
AUGUCAUUUUUCAUGAAGGUUGGAUCCAAGUUCCUUGCACAUAGUGGAGUCACCAAGGCCCGUGCCCCUGCCAUGCUCGGUCUGACUGUGGGCGUUCCAUCUCGGGGCUUCAGCGGCAGCCGAUGGCCUCCAACUAAUCUUGGGCACACUGCCUCUUGUCCCCAUGGGUAUCAGUCCCACACCGGACUCCUCCCUGUCUACCUCACUCCAUGCCCUUCCCAUGCAGAUCGUGCCCCCGAGUUGCGGCGGCCCAGUCCUGCCUCUCAAGUUGAUGCGGCAGUAGUGGCGGCGGUACCGACAGCUAGGCAGCUCCUUGCAAUGUACAGUGCAGUGCCUGAUCUAGUACAUAUGCCGUCCCAAUGGAUAUGGGCAUUUACAGCUGAUUUGAGAGCCUUUGGGAUAUGA